rnacentral:rRNA from 1 species
UACGGGAGGCAGCAGUGGGGAAUUUUCCGCAAUGGGCGAAAGCCUGACGGAGCAACGCCGCGUGAGGGAUGAAGGCCUCUGGGCUGUAAACCUCUUUUAUCAAGGAAGAAGAUCUGACGGUACUUGAUGAAUAAGCCACGGCUAAUUCCGUGCCAGCAGCCGCGGUAAUACGGGAGUGGCAAGCGUUAUCCGGAAUUAUUGGGCGUAAAGCGUCCGCAGGCGGCCCUACAAGUCUGCUGUUAAAAAGUGGAGCUUAACUCCAUCAUGGCAGUGGAAACUGUUGGGCUCGAGUGUGGUAGGGGCAGAGGGAAUUCCCGGUGUAGCGGUGAAAUGCGUAGAUAUCGGGAAGAACACCAGUGGCGAAGGCGCUCUGCUGGGCUAUCACUGACGCUCAUGGACGAAAGCCAGGGGAGCGAAAGGGAUUAGAUACCCCUGUAGUCCUGGCCGUAAACGAUGAACACUAGGUGUCGGGGGAAUCGACCCCUCCGGUGUCGUAGCCAACGCGUUAAGUGUUCCGCCUGGGGAGUACGCUCGCAAGGGUGAAACUCAAAGGAAUUGACGG